GACGAACCGUACGAACGUUGUUCGGAAUCACUGGGCUUAAAGGGCGCGUAGGCGGACUGCCAAGUCCGGGGUGAAAUCUUUCGGCUCAACCGGAAAAUAGCCUCGGAGACUGGCGGUCUGGAGGGGGGUAGGGGCAGCUGGAACUUCCGGUGGAGCGGUGAAAUGCGUUGAUAUCGAUAGGAACUCCGGUGGCGAAGGCGGCAUACUGGUCCACUUCUGACGCUGAGGCGCGAAAGCCAGGGGAGCAAACGGG
rnacentral:rRNA from 1 species